AAUGUAAAGAGAAUAGAUGCUGUGCUGUAUGUUGAACGUAUUGUCUAUAUCACAGUGGCUGUUCUUUUUGUACCA
rnacentral:pre_miRNA from 13 species